rnacentral:rRNA from 1 species
UACAUGCAUGUCGAACGAAGCACUUGUCGCUUAGUGGCGAAUGGGUGAGUAACACGUACUUAAUCUACCUCAUAGUUUGGGACAACAUUUGGAAACGAAUGCUAAUACCGAAUAUACCUUAACACCGCAUGGUGAUUUGGUAAAAGGCCCGUUUGGGUCGCUAAGAGAUGAGAGUGCGGUACAUUAGUUAGUUGGUAGGGUAAAGGCCUACCAAGACGAUGAUGUAUAGCGGGGUUGAGAAGCUGAACCGCCACACUGGGACUGAGAUACGGCCCAGACUCCUACGGGAGGCAGCAGUAGGGAAUAUUCCACAAUGAGCGAAAGCUUGAUGGAGCGACACAGCGUGCAGGAUGAAGGUCUUCGGAUCGUAAACUGCUGUUAUAAGGGAAGAAAAACCGGUAUAGGAAAUGAUAUCGGCUUGACGGUACCUUGUCAGAAAGCACCGGCAAACUAUGUGCCAGCAGCCGCGGUAAUACAUA